rnacentral:rRNA from 1 species
GAUGAACGCUAGCGGGAGGCUUAACACAUGCAAGUCGAGGGGCAGCACGAAGUAGCAAUAUUUUGGUGGCGACCGGCGUACGGGUGAGUAACGCGUAUGCAACCUACCCUGUACAGGGGGAUAGCCCGGAGAAAUUCGGAUUAAUACCCCAUAAAGAUAUCCUUAGGCAUCUUUGGAUAUUUAAAGCUCAGGCGGUACGGGCUGGGCAUGCGGAACAUUAGCUAGUUGGCAGGGUAACGGCCUACCAAGGCAACGAUGUUUAGGGGACCUGAGAGGGUGAUCCCCCACACUGGUACUGAGACACGGACCAGACUCCUACGGGUGGCAG